AAUUUGUAGAGUGGUAUUGGGCAUCCUGUGGGCCGGUGCAGUACUAAACAUUAGAAGUGUUAUAUUACUAUCCAACUAACACAUCUGCUGAAGAGGUUGAUAACUUAGUUUAGGAAAAAUUACCCUGGCAAGUAAUUAGCCGAACCAGUUCAAUGAGGAGUAGCCGAAGCCUGCAAACCUGCAUUGAUUCAGUCCAUGUAAAGACUUGACAACUUAGUUUAGGAAAAAUUACCCUGGGAAGCAUUUAGCCAAGCCAGUUCAGUGAGGAGCCAAAGCCUGCAACCCUGCAUUGAUUCAGUCUGUGUGAAGAGUUAGACUGUGAAAUUGCAGUUCUGUACUUGAAUUCCUUGAAUGCUUUACAGGAUUGACAUGUGACCAGGAUGCUUCUUUCUUUGCCCAGUACACUGUCCUUGCUGUGCCUUUGAGGCUGUUUCGGCACACUAGAUGUCCAUGUUUUAAGAGUAUUACCUUCGACCGGCACUUGUAUCAAUACUAUGCAUCUUGCAUAGUCAUUUCUGACGCACCUCACUGCGUUUGUUGCCAUACAUUACCAUGUGUUGCAAAAUUUUUACAGUGGUUUUAUUUCGGGUCAUUUAGCCUCUAGUAGCCUGACCCACAUUAAGCUGUAAUUUUUGUCUCAGUGCUUGCCUUUUUUUUUAGAGAUGGUCUAUUUACUCAUCUUAAGUGAUGGUGAGAUAUUGCACCUGCAUUAUCUUGAAACUGUAUUAUAUAGCCUUGUCUCUUUUGUAUUUCAAUGACUGUGUACUGAUGGGGUAAAAAGGAGAAAGAGGGCUAUUAUAAUGGAAAACCACAAGUCAUAAAAAUUCUCAGUAGUAUGCUUUUGCAGUCAAGGGAUAAAUUGAUGUGUGCAUGGCCAGAUAUUACAGAGUUAAGCCAGAGUUGCAGAGGUGGAAUGCCAAACGUGAGCAGUUAGCACAAAGUAGGCUCAAGGUGGUACAGUAAUGCUGCAGUAUGUCUUUCUUCAGUUUCUGGCCAUGCAAAUGUUUAGUCUUUUUUCGGCCAUCUGGUCCGCGACACUAUUCAAGCUAAAGAAAGGGAUUAGAUGAGUCUGACAUGUUCUGUCGAUUGUCAAGUAAAAAUACAAGACUUACAAUUUCACCUAGCUCUCUCGUCUUCUCCAAUUGGUGCCCUAGAGUGUAAAUGUGCCUGCCCACUAGGCAGGCUUCUCUCCUAGCCCCUCCCCUCCUGACUGCACCUGUUUCUGAUUAGCUCUGUAAUGUAGGGCAAUAUGAUGCCACUACUUUAGCCCUUGCACAUGAAAUAGACACGCAAUAGUAACAGCACUUCAGCCAGUCCAGGUGUUUGUUGUUCUUCUUUUGUCCUCACAACUGUGGGUUGCGAACUUGCCUAUCCGUAGCAUGGAUUGCAUCAGUAAGGCAUAGUUAUAAGCAAAUAUGUAGAUGCUUGCAUCAGGUAGGCAUGUAUAAGGUAAGGUGGCGGAUGUGUAAAAUGCACUCGUGGAAUUCACGGGGUGUGUAAGAAAAUUUAAUACCAUAGUGUGCGUAUCUCGACCAGUGAGAAGGGAUCCUGUGUGUGGCAUUAAACUAUGGUGCAAAGCCUGGCACAGGUUGCUGUUGUAUGAAACGAAUUUCCUUGUCUUGCCUUAUACACGCUAAGCUGUCUCGAGAUUCAUAGCACUUAAAGACAGUCCAAUGUUUUUAUAUAAUGGGCUAGCGCCUUGAUGGCUGUCUGCAAAGAUCAUCCUAAUUUCGCUCACACUUUUGCAUUAAGUAAAAAAAAAAAAGGAGCAGCGCUGACCAUGAGUUGUGUCUAUGUGCUAUUUACGCACAUUACUCCUGCCCAUUUUCUUUAAUGCGUAACGCAAUCUUAAAUGAGAUUUGUGCAAAACACAAACUACUUGCUCGACAAUGCUGGUGCUGAAGACCCAAGCAUGGACCUGCAUACAGUGCGAUGGCGAAAAGCAAGGAACACUGUGAAAGCCAUUGUCUGUAUUGAGAUCGCAUUCUUCCAUUACAGGUGUUAGUGCUAACUUAUGUGUCUAGGAACGUGUUAUUUUCCUGUAUCACCAUAUUUGUGACUUUCGAUUACAACUUGCUUCUUUGUUGCCGCUGGGUUCUCUUGGAAUGAAAAGGCAAAGUUUUUCCGGAGUUGCGAUUUGCUCAGUGUGCCUUGCUACGUAUAAUAAGCCAGCAUGAGAUGUUUCAGUACUGCUUAUUCUGGCUUGUUCUGUGCACUCCACUUUGCAUAUGUCAUGGCGCACACCCUAGUCUUUGUACCGCUUAGUCAUCCCGAGCAGCACAGGUUGCACUUGUGACGGAGCACGUAACAACCUUCAGCAACGUUCACUGCGUGGAAUGCCUUUUGGCACCAGUCACUGCGACUCGCCUGUAUGCCUGUGUGAAUUGAAGGUGCCUCCGGCGUACGUUUCAUCCAUUAGUAUAUGCCUUUUUGUAGUGCCGCCAGAUUUGAGGCGCUGUUGCUGCAAAAGCUGGUGGAUUAAUAUGGCCAUUGGUAAAGCUGUAGACACACUUAGCUUCCCAUAUUGUACAGCCUUGCAACCUAAACCACAUAGAUCUUAUCACAAACCCCCUCCCCGGGCCCCAACUUAUCAAGAUAUUUAUAAUCUGUCUUUUGCUUACCCCAAGUUUAAAUAGUGAUGGCUACGUUUGCAUGUACUUUGCACACUUUGAAUUUCUGACUUUUCAAGUUGAUAUUGCAGAUUUAUCAUGAGGAUUGGAGUUGUCUAAUUUGUCAGUUGUCCAUGCGUGGCAUUGAGGACUUGUCGUUGUAGCGAACCUAGGAUACCUGCGAACAAAAAGAUGCAAAGUUGAGUGUGGCGUUGGUUGCAUUGUGUUGCUCACAUUAGCUGUGCACUGUGCGCAGAUACGUGCGCAUGCAUGGCAAGAGAAGAAGAGGAGCAAUGGCUCGUGAUACGCGCUUAUUUGGUGCAGUGCCUGUAAGGCAUGCUAAAGUGUUUUCUUCUGAGAUUCCAUAAAAGGAACUGCAAAUGUUUCCGAGGUUUCUACCUUUCUACACUGUGAUUGCGACUGUGAAGAUCUGUUUAGCAAAGCUAAUCUUUCUUGCUGGCGUGUUUACUCUCUGCCAUAUAUGUUAUAUUACAAGAAUAAUCAUUAUUAUUAUUAUUAUUAUAUUGUAUGAAAGCAGCAUUGUGAAUAAUGAAUUAAAGGCUUAUGCUUCACCUCAA
rnacentral:lncRNA from 1 species